rnacentral:rRNA from 1 species
UAGGGAAUAUUGCGCAAUGGGCGAAGCCUGACGCAGCAACGCCGCGUGAAGGAUGAAGGCCUUCGGGUCGUAAACUUCUGUCAAAUGGGAAGAAGGUUUGUAGGUUAAGAGCUAGUGAACUUGACGGUACCAUCAGAGGAAGUCCCGGCUAACUCCGUGCCAGCAGCCGCGGUAAUACGGAGGGGACAAGCGUUAUUCGGAUUUAUUGGGCGUAAAGGGCGCGUAGGCGGCUUGAUAAGUCAAAGGUGAAAUCCCUCGGCUCAACCGGGGAACUGCCUUUGAAACUGUCUGGCUAGAGUUCGGGAGAGGGUAGGGGAAUUCCUAGUGUAGCGGUGAAAUGCGUAGAUAUUAGGAGGAACACCAGUGGCGAAGGCGCCUACCUGGACCGAUACUGACGCUGAGGUGCGAAAGCGUGGGGAGCAAACAGG